UAAUAAGUGUUUUAUGGCACUUUUUAAAUCCAUAUCCACCUUGUGUGCAAUGUCGGUCCGAUCUUCUUUUUUUGAGGAUCGACCAAACAUCAACCUUUAUUUUUUAACUCUUUGUCUGAAAAAUAUUAUGAAUAAACAAUUCGAAAUA
rnacentral:misc_RNA from 1 species